UGGCGGGGCAACGGCCCACCAAGCCGACGAUCAGUAGGGGUUCUGAGAGGAAGGUCCCCCACAUUGGAACUGAGACACGGUCCAAACUCCUACGGGAGGCAGCAGUGAGGAAUAUUGGUCAAUGGGCGAGAGCCUGAACCAGCCAAGUAGCGUGCAGGACGACGGCCCUAUGGGUUGUAAACUGCUUUUGCGCGGGGAUAAAGUGCGCCACGUGUGGCUCAUUGCAGGUACCGCGCGAAUAAGGACCGGCUAAUUCCGUGCCAGCAGCCGCGGUAAUACGGAAGGUCCAGGCGUUAUCCGGAUUCAUUGGGUUUAAAGGGAGCGCAGGCCGCCCCUUAAGCGUGUUGUGGAAUGCCGCGGCUCAACCGUGGCACUGCAGCGCGAACUGGGGGGCUUGAGUGCGCGCAGCGCAGGCGGAACUCGCGGUGUAGCGGUGAAAUGCUUAGAUAUCACGAAGAACUCCGAUCGCGAAGGCAGCCUGCGGGAGCGCAACUGACGCUGAGGCUCGAA
rnacentral:rRNA from 1 species